UGGACGAAAGUCUGAUGGAGCAACGCCGCGUGAGUGAUGAAGGUUUUCGGAUCGUAAAACUCUGUUGUAAGGGAAGAACAAGUGCGUUAGGUAAUGAACGCACCUUGACGGUACCUUAUUAGAAAGCCACGGCUAACUACGUGCCAGCAGCCGCGGUAAUACGUAGGUGGCAAGCGUUGUCCGGAUUUAUUGGGCGUAAAGCGCGCGCAGGUGGUUUCUUAAGUCUGAUGUGAAAGCCCACGGCUCAACCGUGGAGGGUCAUUGGAAACUGGGGAACUUGAGUGCAGAAGAGGAUAGUGGAAUUCCAAGUGUAGCGGUGAAAUGCGUAGAGAUUUGGAGGAACACCAGUGGCGAAGGCGACUGUCUGGUCUGUAACUGACACUGAGGCGCGAAAGCGUGGGGAGCAAACAGGAUUAGAUACCCUGGUAGUCCACGCCGUAAACGAUGAGUGCUAAGUGUNANGGGGUNUCCGCCCCUUAGUGCUGCAGCUAACGCAUUAAGCACUCCGCCUGGGGAGUACGACCGC
rnacentral:rRNA from 1 species